rnacentral:rRNA from 1 species
AUUGAACGCUGGCGGCAGGCCUGACACAUGCAAGUCGAGCGGAUGAAGGGAGCUUGCUCCUGGAUUCAGCGGCGGACGGGUGAGUAAUGCCUAGGAAUCUGCCUGGUAGUGGGGGAUAACGUCCGGAAACGGGCGCUAAUACCGCAUACGUCCUGAGGGAGAAAGUGGGGGAUCUUCGGACCUCACGCUAUCAGAUGAGCCUAGGUCGGAUUAGCUAGUUGGUGGGGUAAAGGCCUACCAAGGCGACGAUCCGUAACUGGUCUGAGAGGAUGAUCAGUCACACUGGAACUGAGACACGGUCCAGACUCCUACGGGAGGCAGCAGUGGGGAAUAUUGGACAAUGGGCAAAAGCCUGAUCCAGCCAUGCCGCGUGUGUGAAGAAGGUCUUCGGAUUGUAAAGCACUUUAAGUUGGGAGGAAGGGCAGUAAGUUAAUACCUUGCUGUUUUGACGUUACCAACAGAAUAAGCACCGGCUAACUUCGUG